rnacentral:rRNA from 1 species
UACGUAGGGUGCGAGCGUUGUCCGGAAUUAUUGGGCGUAAAGAGCUCGUAGGCGGUGUGUCGCGUCGGCCGUGAAAACCUGCAGCUUAACUGUGGGCUUGCGGUCGAUACGGGCAUCACUGGAGUUCGGCAGGGGAGACUGGAAUUCCUGGUGUAGCGGUGAAAUGCGCAGAUAUCAGGAGGAACACCGGUGGCGAAGGCGGGUCUCUGGGCCGAUGACUGACGCUGAGGAGCGAAAGCGUGGGGAGCGAACAGG